ACGGAAGGCAGCAGUGGGGAAUAUUGGGCAAUGGGCGAAAGCCUGACCCAGCAAUGCCGCGUGAAGGAAGAAGGUCUUCGGAUUGUAAACUUCUUUUAUGAGGGACGAAGGAUUUGACGGUACCUCAUGAAUAAGCCACGGCUAACUACGUGCCAGCAGCCGCGGUAAUACGUAGGUGGCAAGCGUUAUCCGGAUUUACUGGGUGUAAAGGGCGCGUAGGCGGGGAAGCAAGUCAGAUGUGAAAUCUAUGGGCUUAACUCAUAAACUGCAUUUGAAACUGUUUCUCUUGAGUGCUGGAGAGGUAGAUGGAAUUCCUAGUGUAGCGGUGAAAUGCGUAGAUAUUAGGAGGAACACCAGUGGCGAAGGCGGAUUGCUGGACGACAACUGACGGUGAGGCGCGAAAGCGUGGGGAGCAAACAGGAUUAGAUACCCUGGUA
rnacentral:rRNA from 1 species